UCAUUUUCUGUCAUCUGUUUUUCAGUUUUGGAAAAAUACCCAGAAAUGUGACAUAAAACUGGAUAAUUUUCCUACAUAGCCAUAUCAGAAUAUUUUCCUAAAAUUGGUUUUCUGCAAACAGGCAUUGAUUGGAGGAAAUUAUGGCCUUCUCAACACUACAACAUUUAUCCCCAAUUCGGAUUAUUACGGUGCUCUUUUGUGGCAUCGCUUAAUGGGAAAGAUUGUACUUCAGACCACUUAUGACAGUUCCCCUUCCACUUAAGAAAGAAUCGGGCAUUUCACUGCUUCUAAUCAACAUGUCAAAUUCUACUACCUAUGAAGUUUCGGUUGCGGAUGACUUGAACUUCUAUCCUGACAACUAUGAUGAUAACCAACAACAAAUCCACAGGGAAGAGUACCACUUGACUCCAACAGAUGGCAAUAUUCAAAGUGAUGUGCUGAUGUUAAAUGGUGUCCCCUUGGUGCUCAUAGAGUCAAGGAUAUACCAGUUAUGUAUCCAGUGCUCGUGCAUGCUUCAAACCCUAUCAGUGUUGCACCUGAUUCUAUUGUUUUUGCAACUCUUAAAGAUUUCAAAGCACCAGCUUGUUCUUAGGAAUUUUUCUUUAUGUCACGUUAUUAGAGAUCUUUGAUUUAUUUAUUUAUUUAUUGGGUAUAUAUUUACAAAUGGUAAUAAUGGGAUUCUCUUAUUUUGUUUCAUUUCAUCACAUU